rnacentral:misc_RNA from 1 species
GCUUUCUCUGUUUUUUCAAGGACUUUCGUAGAUGGGUUGUGCUAGCUCAAAACAAAAGCGUUGCCGGCGUUGCCGGCACUGCCGGCACUGCCACGCACCCUAUUCUCCGAUGCCUCGGAGCUACUCAAUGCAUGUGGUUCAUCCGUCGCAGAAAAGAGGCGAUGGCUAUCAUGUGGUGGCGCUCACCUCCACCACAUUAGGCUCUCUUGCGCUCGAUUCACCUACCAAUUACAAGGACAAUAUCAAUGCUGCUAUUGAUAUUUUGACAGCGAAAAGCAAUGAUGAGGAGAGUACCAAUUUAUGUGAUGAGCAAAAUGGGAUUUCAAACGACAAGGAAUUGAAGAGCAAGGAAUUUUCAGUGGGGUUAAUUGAAGCCAAGAGUUGGUCUAAUAUGAUCCAAGAAAAAAUUCCCAAAAUUGUCCCAAGGACACCAGUUAGAACGCCGCCUGGAGAGCCUGAAACCAUCAAUGCUUGGGAGUUGAUGGAGGGUCUUGAAGAAGAUGAUGGUUCUGUACAUUUGCCUCAUCUGUUUCGCAGCUUCUCUUUCGAUCUUUCUCGCGAAAAAAAUCCAGUUCCUGAUAGCCCAAGAUUGAAUGGGACCACAUUUUCACCAAAUAAUCCCCAGACUAGUCUCAAACCUCUUUGGCUUCAAUUAGCAGACGAAGAAGCAAAUUCCAAGUGUCCGGAAUUCGACCCUCAAAUCAUUUCCACUUUCAGAAAAUCUCUCCAGGAUCUCUCUCCCGCCCAUCCAUUUUACCUCAAGCCACCGGGCGGUGAGAAACAAUCACCUCUUUCUCCUCCCUUAGCCGGCAAUAAUCAUAUUAAAAACUUCUGUAAACGUGGGAAUGAGAAGGUGGUGGUAUACUUUACAAGCCUACGAGGGAUUCGCAAAACCUACGAAGAUUGCUGCCAUGUGAGAGCGAUCUUAAAGGGCUUAGGUGUUCGAACUGAUGAGCGAGACGUAUCGAUGCAUUCAGGGUUUAAGGAUGAGUUGAGAGAGCUAUUGGGAGAAGGGUUUAGAGGAGAAGGAGGACUACCGAAGGUGUUUGUCGGAAGAAAAUACAUUGGCGGAGCUGAGGAGAUACGGCGACUGCACGAAGAAGAUCAGCUGGAUAAAUUGUUUGAAGGGUGUGAAAUGGUGGAGGACAGUGGUGGUGGAGCUUGUGAGGCUUGUGGGGAUAUCAGAUUUGUGCCAUGCGAGACAUGUUCUGGGAGCUGUAAGAUUUACUAUGAACGCGAUGAAGAAGAAGAAGAAGAAGAA